CAAAACCCACAAACCUAAACCCGCACAUAACAUACAAGAUCUCUAUAAAAUCUUUACUAGAUUUACAAGAAUCCUACAAGAUUUGUAAGAUCUUGCAAAAUCUUACCUAAAUCUCUACAAGUUUCUUCAAAAGAUUUUGAUUCAAGGGUAAGACAUAUUGACCUGAAUGUAACAAAAAUACCCAAAAGAAACCAUAACCCUCCAAUUUCUAUAUAAAGGACCACUAUUUUCAUUUGUCUGCAUACACACAAAAACCCUUAUCCUCUCUAUUCUCUCUCUCUCCCUCUCGAAAUCUACUGCACUCAAAUUUUGAGACCUUAUCUCCAAAGAAUCACCACACUCUAUCACUUUAACUAUAAUACACACAUAAAAGAUUAAAGCUGAUUACAAAAACCUCACCCACCAGUCAACAGUUCGGGCAAACACCCCCUCCCCUCCAUCUCGGUCUUUACUCGGUGAAGACAAACACACGACCGGCAAGACCACCGGCGGGGCUCCGGUUGGUCAGGUGGUGCCGGUGAGGCCCCCAUGACCCCCCCGUUAUCCUUCUUGUCUGGCGGAUCGGACCAUCGCCACCACCACCGUCCGGUGGUGGUGCGGUGGUGCAACUCAGAGAGAGAGAGAAAGGCAGAAAGAGAGAGAGAACCAGGUGUCCGACGGUCUGUGCCGUUGACCGGCGGACAAAGCCUUUAUUUGGCGGUUCGAGGUGGUUCUCCGGCGACCCGUCGGAGAAGAUGAUGAAGGCGACGGCGGUAUCAAGCAGAGAGAGACGGUGUGAGGAGCAUGGAGCCGCCACCUGCGGCGGCGGUGGCGGUGGACCCUCACGGCAGUAGCAACGCGGCGGUGGCGAUUGAAAGGUCCCGGUCAGGUUUGUUCAAACUCAGACGGGUUUCGGUUGAUUCUGUUGUGGUUCGAGUCUCGGGUCAGUUCAGGUCCUUCGGGCCAGCCGCACUUCGGGUCAGAUUCAGUCAAAGUCAACAACUCGGUUCGGGUAUUGGUCCACAAAUGGUCCACGGCUUGGUUCGGGUCAACUCAUGAAGCGGUUCGUUCAACUCGGUCAACUGAGUCAACUCGGUCAAACCCGGUCAACUCAGUCAACUCAGCGAGUUGACUCGGUCAGCUCGGUUUUCGACACGAGAAGAUGGAAUAUUGUAGAACGCACGCUAGCGAGCCUCGUCUUGGAAACGACAUCACG